GCUAAAAUAUUAAAUGAUUUAGAAAGAAGAGUGAUGGCUCUAAUUGGUUGGGACUGUGUUCAAAUCCCAAAUACAGUACGACUAGAGCCAAUCAGCAACCCACAGAAUAAAGAAAUUAAUGAGGAAACUGAAACUACUCCUGUCUUACACGAAGUACCGAUCAGUGAUAAUGUUGUAAUAGAAGUAUCAGUGGACGAUGAAAUUAGACCCAUAUUAAACACAGAACAUGAAAAUGAAAUAAGUAAAGAUUCAAGUGAUCCUAACACAGCCACAGAAACUAACAAAGAAAACACGCAGCCAUUUAGAAG
rnacentral:lncRNA from 1 species